CGAGUACAGGCUCUUGCCAGUGUUUUCUGGUCCCGUUGGAGGAAAGAGUACCUGCCGUUACUACAACAACGACGAAAAUGGACCGAAGAUCGCCGUGAUCUCAUCGAAGGAGACGUCAUUCUUCUAAAGGACAAAAACCUUUGCCGUACCCAAUGGCCCGUUGGAAUUAUAGUGAACUCAUUUAAAAGUUCAGAUGAACAUGUCCGAAAAGCAGAAGUGCGAGUAAUCGUUAACGGAAAAGCCACAACCUACACACGCCCUAUCGUGGACAUGAUUCUUCUCGUAGAGAACAACCCUGUGUAAUUAUGUGUAUAUGUAUAUAUAUUGGAUUUAGAUAGGACAUUCACAUGUGUUAUAUUUUAUGGAAUAGUGAUAUCAGAUAGAUUUCAGACGGGGAGUAUUCUGUUUCACAUUCAAUGUUUAUUACAUGUUUUCAUAUUUAUCCGGAACAAAUUGAACUGGACCGAUUUCUCAAAUCACCGUAUUAUCGACUACCUUUAAUUUCUGUGACACCGUCCGCUUCAAUAUUUCAACACAUGGAAAAUGGACGACAUUUGAACUUCCUACGGAAAUCGAGACAUACACUGUCAAGUACGUUUGAUUCAAUCAUAAACUGUGAUAAAUUAAUCUGUUUAACUCCGUUAUUUUUAGAUAAGUGGUUUAUAAAUACAUACGAACUUUAAGUUAUCUAUUUCCGAGAAAUGAACUGUAAAUUCUACUUUCGUUUUUGACUCGAUUAAUAAUC
rnacentral:lncRNA from 1 species